rnacentral:misc_RNA from 1 species
CAACCCUCACCCUUGCGAUGUCAAAGUCGCCUGUGGUGGACUUGGACCGUGCCGUAGUCGGCUCGUCCUGAAAUGCAUUAGCUUGCGCUUUUAGAGUGCCCGGCACCGGUGUGAUAAUUAUCUGCGCCACCGCCUAAGCCUCUUCAGUUGUGCUGCUUCCAAUCGUCCCGACGGACAACUUUUUAUAAAG